rnacentral:rRNA from 1 species
UACGUAGGGUGCAAGCGUUGUCCGGAAUUAUUGGGCGUAAAGAGCUCGUAGGCGGUCUGUCGCGUCGGCUGUGAAAACCCGAGGCUCAACCUCGGGCCUGCAGUCGAUACGGGCAAACUAGAGUACUGCAGGGGAGACUGGGAAUUCCUGGUGUAGCGGUGAAAUGCGCAGAUAUCAGGAGGAACACCGGUGGCGAAGGGCGGGGUCUCUGGGGCAGUAACUGACGCUGAGGAGCGAAAGCGUGGGAGCGAACAGG